AUGGCGUUCUUCAAGAGCUUUGGGCAGAACCUACCAUCUGUAAACAUCUCCUCCAUCUUGGAUUCAGUCAGCAGCAGAGUGGACGACCUAGCCAGUGCUGUCAGUGAUGCCACCUACAGCGUCAGUGACCAGCUGACCGAGCUCAGCGACCAGGUCAUCAAGAAGGUGCAGACGGAGGAGGAGGAGGCUGCAGAAGCGACAGAGGGGGCCCAGGACAGCAAGGAAGGAAAGGCCCAGGAAGGGAUAGCAGACUCAUUCAGGAGCAAAAUCAAGAGGCAGGCUUCUGAGGCCUGCUCAAGCUUGGCAGACUACAGCUCCAACCUCAGCCAAUCCAAUGACUCGAAGAAUAACCAAUCAAGUGACGUGACAGCAGAGGACUAUGUUCCAGCCCAAUUGGAAUGGGUGUGGAAAGAUGGAGGCUGGCGAGUGGUAAAACCAGGGGAGAGUUCUGCAGAGGACAAGGAAAAGGAGGAGAAAAGGAAGGAGGAAGAAAAGACGAAGAAAGAGGAGAAGGAGAAGAGAAAGGCAGAGAAAGACAAGAAGAAGGAGGAGAGGCUGAAACAGGAGGAAGAGAAGAAAAAUAGCCAUCAAGAGACCAUUGAGGAAGAGCCUGAAGAUAAAGAAACCAGCUCAUUGCCGAAAGAGACCCACACUGCUAGUCAGAACAAAGAGGGCCAGAAAGAGGACAAAUCCAAUGGGGUCCACCAGAGUGACGACCAUAGUGAUCCACCGCAAUCUCUUUGCCCUGAGGAAGAGUCGAGAGCAUCCCAAAAGAAAAACAAGGGGAAAGCUGAAGAGGAGGAAGAGAAUGAGAUGAGUCCCGAGGGAGAUGGAGAGACUGAACCUGCUAUGUCUCCCGCUUCUGAGAAAAAUAAGAAAAAGAGUGACAAGAAGAAAGAGAAGAAAGAGAGCAAGAAGACAAAUAAAGAGGAUAAAGGUGAGAGGGUGUGCUGCUUCCUACCUGCUCUCUUCUACCACAUUCCCCCUCUUCUUCACCUCUACUCUUCAUGGCUGUGGCCUGUGACCUGUGACCUGUGA
rnacentral:lncRNA from 1 species